GAGGGGGGUCCUGCCUCUAAAAUGAGUGUCUCUGGGGGACAUGAUACCAAAGCUAAGAGACCAAUCAAGCAGGAGAGACCAGCCUCCCCUGUACCCAGCUGUGUGUCCAUGAAGAGUGACAAGUCUAUGAAUCUACCUAUGAAGUUUAGAGAGGGAGACUUUUCUACUGAACAAAGAAACCAACAGGAGAGAUCAGAGUCAGAGAUUCUCAGUGGUCAGUCUUCCCAGAGUCAUCAAACAGACCUGGACUCUAUAUUCAGUGUAUGUGAUCCUGUUAUGAACUUUUGUUUUCCUCAAGUAAAGUUUCUUUCAAUUAUUCAUUAAUGUGUUAAUGAGAAAGCAUUUCUUCUCUUGCUUAACUUAUUUACUUGAUUUAUUUCAGU